UGACGUGAAUGUUUUCAUUAUGUUAAUUUAUGUGUGUGUUCCGGAGAAUAGAAUAGAAGAGAAUAGAAUCUUU